rnacentral:rRNA from 1 species
AGAGUUUGAUCCUGGCUCAAGAACGAACGCUGGCGGCAUGCCUAACACAUGCAAGUCGAACGAGACCUUCGGGUCUAGUGGCGCACGGGUGCGUAACGCGUGGGAAUCUGCCCCUUGGUUCGGAAUAACAGUUAGAAAUGACUGCUAAUACCGGAUGAUGACGAAAGUCCAAAGAUUUAUCGCCGAGGGAUGAGCCCGCGUAGGAUUAGCUAGUUGGUGAGGUAAAGGCUCACCAAGGCGACGAUCCUUAGCUGGUCUGAGAGGAUGAUCAGCCACACUGGGACUGAGACACGGCCCAGACUCCUACGGGAGGCAGCAGUGGGGAAUAUUGGACAAUGGGCGAAAGCCUGAUCCAGCAAUGCCGCGUGAGUGAUGAAGGCCUUAGGGUCGUAAAGCUCUUUUACCAGGGAUGAUAAUGACAGUACCUGGAGAAUAAGCUCCGGCUAACUCCGUG